rnacentral:lncRNA from 11 species
GUACACGCAGAAGAAUUUUAAUAUGUUGAAACUAAGAACGCAUUGGUUAGAAUCAAUAAUUUAUAAUCUACAAUAUUUUUUAUUUAUGGUCGCCAUCAUGUAUUUGUGAGAAAAAGUGACGCGAACGAAAUGAAUAGAGCUGAAAGUAUAUCCGGUGAAAAACGAUAAGAAUUCAUUAAAUUGCUGCAAAUUUUUGAUUUAUCAGACGGUAAUUAUUUGAGGCAAGUUAAUACUUUCAGAAGGCAUUUCAUUUAUAUAUCACACAAUUUAUUUUCAGCCAAUAUGUGCCGAAGAAAUGGAAAUUAUACUUUUAGCGGCGGGAGGAAAACUAUCGCACAAGAAAAGCAAAAGAAUGUGCCGUCCGGGUUAUUCAGCAACGACAACGGCUGGUGAAAUUUGAUGUGAGCUGCUCACAACCUAUGGAACCAUCCAGAUUGUUCUAGAACAUCACAAUCAUUCAUUCUGAUUAGAUAAACAUGAUUAUAUAAUAAACGAGCAAGCAUCAAUAAAAA